rnacentral:rRNA from 1 species
GACGAACGCUGGCGGCGCGCCUAACACAUGCAAGUCGAGCGGAGUUAAGAUUUCGGUUUUAACUUAGCGGCGGACGGGUGAGUAACGCGUGAGUAACCUGCCCUUCAGCGGGGGAUAGCAUCUGGAAACGGAUGGUAAUACCGCAUAAUGUAUGCUGAAGACAUCUUCGGCAUACCAAAGGAUUUAUUCACUGAAGGAUGGACUCGCGUCCGAUUAGGUAGUUGGUGAGGUAAAGGCCCACCAAGCCCGCGAUCGGUAGCCGGACUGGGAGGUUGAUCGGCCACAUUGGGACUGAGACACGGCCCAGACUCCUACGGGAGGCAGCAGUGGGGGAUAUUGCACAAUGGGGGGAACUCUGAUGCAGCGACGCCGCGUGAGGGAAGGAGGUCUUCGGAUUGUAAACCUCUGUCUUUGGGGACGAACAAAUGACGGUACCCAAAGAGGAAGCCACGGCUAACUACGUGCCAGCAGCCGCCGUAAGAC